rnacentral:rRNA from 1 species
UGGGGAAUAUUGGACAAUGGGCGCAAGCCUGAUCCAGCCAUGCCGCGUGAGUGAUGAAGGCCCUAGGGUUGUAAAGCUCUUUCACCGGUGAAGAUAAUGACGGUAACCGGAGAAGAAGCCCCGGCUAACUUCGUGCCAGCAGCCGCGGUAAUACGAAGGGGGCUAGCGCUGUUCGGAUUUACUGGGCGUAAAGCGCACGUAGGCGGACUUUUAAGUCAGGGGUGAAAUCCCGGGGCUCAACCCCGGAACUGCCUUUGAUACUGGAAGUCUUGAGUAUGGUAGAGGUGAGUGGAAUUCCGAGUGUGGAGGUGAAAUUCGUAGAUAUUCGGAGGAACACCAGUGGCGAAGGCGGCUCACUGGACCAUUACUGACGCUGAGGUGCGAAAGCGUGGGGAGCAAACAGG